rnacentral:rRNA from 1 species
UGGGGGAUAUUGCACAAUGGGCGAAAGCCUGAUGCAGCGACGCCGCGUGGGGGAUGAAGGCCUUCGGGUUGUAAACUUCUUUUGCUCUGAACAAGGCAUGCUAAUGGGUGUGUUGAGUGUAGGGGUUGAUUAGCGCCGGCUAACUACGUGCCAGCAGCCGCGGUAAUACGUAGGGCGCGAGCGUUGUCCGGAAUUAUUGGGCGUAAAGGGCUUGUAGGUGGCUGGUUGCGUCUGUCGUGAAAGCUCAUGGCUUAACUGUGGGUUUGCGGUGGAUACGGGCUGGCUUGAGUGCAGUAGGGGAGGCUGGAAUUCCUGGUGUAGCGGUGGAAUGCGCAGAUAUCAGGAGGAAUACCGGUGGCGAAGGCGGGUCUCUGGGCUGUUACUGACACUGAGGAGCGAAAGCAUGGGGAGCGAACAGG